AUUGAACUCUGGCGGCAGGCCUAACACAUGCAAGUCGAACGAGUGGCGGACGGGUGAGUAAUGUCUGGGAAACUACCUGAUGGAGGGGGAUAACUACUGGAAACGGUAGCUAAUACCGCAUACCAUCGGAUGUGCCCAGAUGGGAUUAGCUAGGAGGUGGGGUAAAGGCUCACCUAGGCGACGAUCCCUAGCUGGUCUGAGAGGAUGACGGCACACACGGGAACUGAGACACGGUCCAGACGACUUCGGGAGGAAGAAGGGGGGAAUAGUGCACAAUGGGGGGAAGCCUGAUGAAGUCAUGCCGAGUGUAUGAAGAAGGCCUGCUGGUUGUAAAGGACGGUCAGCGGGGAGGCGUUACCCGCAGAAGAAGCACCGGCGAACUCCGGGCCAGCAGCCGCGGUAAUAC
rnacentral:rRNA from 1 species